rnacentral:lncRNA from 1 species
AUAAAUUGUUUGAGCCAACACUAUCCAAUGGACAGUAGAAGAAGGGCUUCACAAAAUAAAAUAAAAUGAAAUGCGUGUUAUCCCUAUGUUAUGCAGAUGUGUGUUGUAAAUUCACCAUAAAUUAAAAUUUUUUUUUGAGGAUAAUGUCAAAUUUUAGGUGACUGAUAUGAAGCAGAUGUCACAGAAGAUGUACAAUGAGAACAGCUAGGGUUCUUUCCUAAUUUACUUCAGAGGGCUUGGGGUGAAGUCUACAGUGGUAUAAUCACAAGCAGUAUUUUGACUGAGAUCCUAUUUUCAUACGAACUCUUUAAAGUCACAUGAUGUAUCAUAUAAAUUGGAGUUGGCAACUAAGUCUGCCACUUCGAUUAAAUAAUCAAAAUGUCAUUAUCUAAAAGUUGCAUUUUGUGGAAAAAGCAGAAUAUAGGAAAAAGAAUGGAAGAGAUAAAUCAAGUCUACUCUUUUUUUUUUUUUUUUUUUCCCAUUUAAUGGCUAGAACUAGUGUCCAACAACUGGCAGUCACUACUGGAGAAAGGAAGUAAAUCAAGGAAGAUGGUAGAAGUAACUACAUUUGCAGUUAUUUAUAACCUAAGAAAAUGGAAAACCCAAGAACUUGGCCAGAAGCUUUGAUGUAUAAGUCCUGCUGCAGAUAUUGUGAUACGUGUGUGCACAUACGUGUAUACAGGUGUGAAAAUAGCACUGAAGCACCCCAAUGGAAAAAACUUCAUUGAAUUCAAAUGUCUCAUUGGAAAUAGGAGCAACAAAGAAUUUCACAUAAAUGUUAACUACCGGAUCAGGGAAAACAUAUAUGUGAAAAAAUAGUUUGUUGGCUCUGUUCCUUGAAUCCCAUUUCUGCUUUCUGCUCUUCAUGGUGUUUUGGAUCUACAUUACGCCCAGCUGAGACUAUUAAGGUGAGUAAAAUGACUUCUAUAUCUCAGUAUAUAAGACCUAUUAUUGGAGAAAUUUAAAACCUUUCAAAAGCUUUGCAUAUAAAUCUGCACAAAAAAAAAAAAGUAAACACAAAUAAAUAGUGUCAUUAUGAAUUCCA